UCAUAAUUGGGCUUGACAUCCCACCCGUGGUCUCGAGAUCCUCUUCGGCUGCGUCGUCCGUGGUCGCGAGGAGAUCACCAAGCUCGAGGGAGAUCAUCGAUCGUAGAAGCUCUCAUCAAUGAUGCUCAGUGGUUCCGGUGGAUCUGGCGUCGUCGGUGAGGCAUCUCUACCCCUCCCCUCGUUCUCCAUCCCGUUUCAUUUGACCUAGGUUGGGGGCUUCUAUGCAUAAAUCUUUCGCUGCAUGCUGAUUCACAAGGGGUUUCGCUACCUCGGGCCUAAAAGUUUGUUCUCGAUUGUUAUUAUUUGGGAGGAUUGAAUUGAUUCUGAUUGAUACCAUGGAGGGAUAAGAAUUCGGUCGAUAUCCGUUGAUAGGACAUCAUCCGUGAGAUGUAUCGGGCUGUGGACAAUCUUUGUUCUCUUAACAGCCAUUCUGUCGGUAGCGUGACUUGAUGUUACUGAGUGGAUAGCCUGUGAUACUUUUGCCAUGGACUUUCAAGAGGAUCGCUAAUAUCGCUAUGCCAUGAGAAUUGAUAAAGAUGAUACAAGCGUUAUUAUUAGGAGGGAUCAUCGUCUUUGAUGUUCCAUCUAUUGGUAUCAGAAUUCCUCUAUGAUUCCUAUAGAAGAUAUCACCUUGUCAACCUUAAUGCAGUUAACUAUAUUUUUUGAUGGCAACAAGUCAAUUCCGAUCACCUUUUCUCAAAUGGAGAAUUGGCUUCUCAGAGAAAGAGACCUGAAGUGGUGACAUCAAGAUUUACUAAAAUAUUUCUUGUUAAGUUUGUUAUCAGACCAUGCUUUGAUAAGAUCCAAUUGAAAUAUGCUAUUAGAGGAUGAAAGCAUCAGAAAUUCUUUCUUUGCACAUUGCAAAGCUGAUGGGCUUGUUCAAUGGCUUGUUUCUAGCUUAAGGGCACUAGUAGUUGCACAUAUCAUGGAUAUUUGAAGGAGACAAGGCAAGACAGGUUUGUUUAUUCUUAGGCACUUGCCUAUGGGUUCCUGGCCACUGUACAUAAUGAGAAUGGAAGUCCCUACUGCAUCAGAAGUCAAUCGUGAAGCCGAAAACAUAGCAAGAGGACCUCUAGAUGUCAUCUGUUUAAUGAGCACCUGAUUGAAAAUGGAUGAUGAUCUCAAAGAAGAUUGUAUUGAUCAAGAUAAUCUUUUAAAUAAAGUUUUCAGCAAGGAAAUGCUAUAAAGCCAGGGAGAGCUUCACCGAGAAAUAUCUCAUGAAUUCAGUAUGGUAGUAGGUGGUUGGUUUUUGGUGUUGCAGCUUUUCUAGGUUGCCAUUGAUCUAAUUGUGGUGAGAUUUCCCUGAUCCGACAAAGAUGUUGGGAUUGUGGCAGGUUUUCAAAGACAUCUAAAUCCGACUUGACUCUACCCUCUGCUUUAAGUUCAUGUACCUUGAGAUUCCAAGUCUAGUAUUACUUGGUAUCUUAGUUUCCUAGUUUUCUAGGUUCAUGUACCUCCCGUUCGUCUCUUUAUUAUUGCUCAUCAUCAUCCAAUGUACGUUGCUAUUGCCCUGUUAUGGUUGCCUUCACCUUGUAAUCUUCGUCAUGUCAUAUCCGUGCAAUCGGAUCCGCUCCACCACGGGGGUUCAUAGGAGUUAAGCUUACAAUCAACUAUAUUUCUAGAAAAAGUAUUUCUUGUUUUUAUGAUAAUUUUUUUUAAUUUUUUUUCUCGAAUGACAUUAUUUUUUAAUAAUUUUUUUUAAUCUCAUAAAUAUCCCUCAUCAUCAUCUAUCGCAUGUCGCUUUCACCCAUGUAAUAGUAAUAGUUUCUUCACCCAUGUGAAUGACCUCACAGGUAGUAGAACAAAUGGGUCUCACUGAUCUUGUGAGAGGAGGCACCUAUUGUUUGUGUUAAUUAAUAUUAUAUUUUUUACUUAAGUUUUGAAGGAUCACCACCACCUCCUCUACUAUGGAGGAUAGAUUGUUGUUCUUAUCAUCUGUGACAAGGGGCAUACCCGAUCUAGUGGAAGCAUGUAACGUUGAAGCCCAAUAACUCUCAUUUAUGGAAUUACAAAAAAGAUAUCACAAAAAAAAAAGAAUACCUUUUUAAAAAAAUAAAAAAGGUUUUUUUUUCAAAAAAUAUAGUAAAAGUAAGAUAUACUUUUUAAAAAAAAUAUAGAUGAUUGGAAGUUUAACACUUAUGGAAAUACUAAUGCAGUUUCUUAUAAUAUAAUUAAUUAAUUUAUUAUACUAGAUGUAUUUAGGUAUUGAAUACAUCUCUCCAGCACACUUAUCCGAGUUACCUAGCAGUGCCCGAGUAUAAUACCCUAUCUCUUGGGCCCUUUGUGUAAUGAUCACAUAGGACAAGUGGGUUUUGGACAGGACGAAGGUGCGGGUGUUUGAAUUUACCAAAGAAAUAAGAAACUGAAAGCCAAUACACGUCAACUCUGCCACUCCGUUUCGUCAGCUUCUUCUUCUCGUCCUUCAUCCUCCGUCACCUCCAUUCCCAUCUUCUCCGCGGACGGGCCAUCCGAGCCUCAGCCUUCUCGAUCAGAUCCGUCUGCCUCAUCAUGUUCGGGCCGUAUGCGACGAUGAUGCUGAUUAAUUGUUCCCACUGUCACACCCCGCUGCAGCGCCCAUCGGGGGCGUCGUCCGUGCGACGCACCAUCUGCAAGUCCAUCUCCUACGUGUGCGAUUCUUGGGGCGUACCCACGCCACCAGGGGCUUCCCAUCCCCUUCCGCCUCCUGGCUCCGUCCCGCCUCCCGCACCCGCCGCCGAUGCUGGGUGGUGGUGGGCGAAAGAAAGCGGUGAGGUCACGGAUCGGAACACGUGAAACGAGCUUAUGGGGUGUAUAAAUGAUGCCAACUGCAUGAAGUACCUCCUCAUCAAUCGCUACAGCUUCGCAAAAUCCAACGUCAUCAUGCUAACAGGUACUACUUUGAUCUUUCCUAUCACCAUUCGCAACAACAGUCGAUCGAUCGGUCUCUCUCAAUUUGGUUCGUUUGGUUCCAGCCAUAAUCAUUGCGAGCAUAAUCCCUCGUAUAAGCUUCUGUUUCUGAGUUCUUUCCUGGAAAUUGAUGUCAUCUAUGCGAAGCAUGUUAAUGGACGUAGUUGCAAACGUGCAGUUUAUCUAGAGCUUAAACUCUGGAUUGGUUGUGGAUCUACCAGAUAAAUAUCAAUUACCCAGUUGGAUUUGUCAAGGAAAGCCUCUUGAUUGGUGGAGUUAGCUAGGACAAUGGUGAAUGAAUAUUAAGAUGCUGCAUCUCAAAAGGGAGGGAAAAAGACACGGGACUGGUGCCUAUGGAACUGAAUCAUGAGUUGCAAUCUAAGAUCAGAAUGCUCAGAGAACUAGUAGAUAAUUCCAUGAAUCAGAAUGUUUACCAUUAGUUUAUAACAAAGGAAGAAUUUGUUCAAAGAAAUGCUUAUGGCCGUGUAUGUAUGUUCAUCACUUCCAUAAUCUUGAUUCUUUUUCAACCAUUAUGGCAUCAGAUUGAUAAUUAUGUGCAGCAAAGCAAUCCAUAAUCACUUGAAGUGGUGAAUAAAGCAGCUCUGUUUUUUUUUUCUUUUAAUUUUAUGAAAGAUAAUUGUGUUUUUCUUGGCA